ACCCGUCGUUCGUUCGUCCUCAGUGCAGGGCAACAGGACUUCGGGCUCAAGAUGGUGACUGCAGCCAUGCUGCUGCAGUGCUGCCCAGUGCUUGCCCGGGGCCCCACAAGCCUCCUAGGCAAGGUGGUUAAGACUCACCAGUUCCUGUUUGGUAUUGGACGCUGUCCCAUCCUGGCUACCCAAGGACCAAACUGUUCUCAAAUCCACCUUAAGGCAACAAAGGCUGGAGGAGAUUCUCCAUCUUGGGCCAAGGGCCACUGUCCCUUCAUGCUGUCGGAACUCCAGGAUGGGAAGAGCAAGAUUGUGCAGAAGGCAGCCCCAGAAGUCCAGGAGGAUGUGAAGGCUUUCAAGACAGGAAACUAUGUCUUCAGUUAUGACCAGUUUUUCAGGGACAAGAUCAUGGAGAAGAAACAGGAUCACACCUACCGUGUGUUCAAGACUGUGAACCGCUGGGCUGAUGCAUAUCCCUUUGCCCAACAUUUCUCUGAGGCAUCUGUAGCCUCAAAGGAUGUGUCCGUCUGGUGUAGUAAUGAUUACCUGGGCAUGAGCCGACACCCUCAGGUCUUGCAAGCCACACAGGAGACCCUGCAGCGUCAUGGUGCUGGAGCUGGUGGCACCCGCAACAUCUCAGGCACCAGUAAGUUUCACGUGGAGCUUG
rnacentral:sRNA from 1 species